rnacentral:rRNA from 1 species
AUUGAACGCUGGCGGCAUGCUUUACACAUGCAAGUCGAACGGUAACAGGCCGCAAGGUGCUGACGGGUGGCGGACGGGUGAGUAAUGCAUCGGAACGUGCCCAGUCGUGGGGGAUAACUACUCGAAAGAGUAGCUAAUACCGCAUACGAUCUAUGGAUGAAAGCGGGGGACCGUAAGGCCUCGCGCGAUUGGAGCGGCCGAUGUCAGAUUAGGUAGUUGGUGGGGUAAAGGCUCACCAAGCCAACGAUCUGUAGCUGGUCUGAGAGGACGACCAGCCACACUGGGACUGAGACACGGCCCAGACUCCUACGGGAGGCAGCAGUGGGGAAUUUUGGACAAUGGGCGCAAGCCUGAUCCAGCAAUGCCGCGUGCAGGAAGAAGGCCUUCGGGUUGUAAACUGCUUUUGUACGGAACGAAACGGCUCUGGUUAAUACCCGGGGCUAAUGACGGUACCGUAAGAAUAAGCACCGGCUAACUACGUG